rnacentral:rRNA from 1 species
UACAGAGGGGGCAAGCGUUAUUCGGAAUUAUUGGGCGUAAAGGGCGCGUAGGCGGCCUGGCAAGUGGAAGGUGAAAUCCCUCGGCUUAACCGAGGAACUGCCCUCCAAACUGCCUGGCUUGAGUCCGGGAGAGGUGAGUGGAAUUCCCAGUGUAGCGGUGAAAUGCGUAGAUAUUGGGAGGAACACCAGUGGCGAAGGCGGCUCACUGGACCGGAGCUGACGCUGAUGCGCGAAAGCGUGGGGAGCAAACGGG